rnacentral:ncRNA from 13 species
ACCCAGCCUAAGCAUGAUAAUUGAGUGUUCAGGUGCACGUGUGAGAUGUGGCACCAUGGAACCCUGGUAUGACGUCGGUACGUGACCCGUCUGACA